UUUAAGUGAAACUAUGUGUUUUCGUGUUUAAUUUUAAUCAUCCGUCUUGUUUAAAAAAAUAAUUAGUAUGUUUGUUGUUAUGAGAUGAUAAAACAUGAAUAUAUAUACUUUAUGCGUGACUUAUGUUUUUAAAUUUUUUUAAUAAUUUUUCAAAUAAAAUGAAUGAUCUAAGUUGAGCACGAAAAAAAUAUGACUACACUUGGA
rfam:Oryza glaberrima chromosome 11 Oglab11_0333_3, whole genome shotgun sequence.